GAUGAACGCUGGCGGCGUGCUUAACACAUGCAAGUCGAACGGAAAGGCCCAAGCUUGCUUGGGUACUCGAGUGGCGAACGGGUGAGUAACACGUGGGUGAUCUGCCCUGCACUUCGGGAUAAGCCUGGGAAACUGGGUCUAAUACCGGAUAGGACGAUGGUUUGGAUGCCAUUGUGGAAAGUUUUUUCGGUGUGGGAUGAGCUCGCGGCCUAUCAGCUUGUUGGUGGGGUAAUGGCCUACCAAGGCGUCGGCGGGUAGCCGGCCUGAGAGGGUGUACGGCCACAUUGGGACUGAGAUACGGCCCAGACUCCUACGGGAGGCAGCAGUGGGGAAUAUUGCACAAUGGGCGCAAGCCUGAUGCAGCGACGCCGCGUGGGGGAUGACGGCCUUCGGGUUGUAACUCCUUUCGCUAGGGACGAAGCGUUUUUGUGACGGUACCUGGAGAAGAAGCACCGGCUAACUACGUG
rnacentral:rRNA from 1 species